UACGUAGGGUGCGAGCGUUGUCCGGAAUUAUUGGGCGUAAAGGGCUCGUAGGCGGUUUGUCACGUCGGGAGUGAAAACUCAGGGCUCAACCCUGAGCCUGCUUCCGAUACGGGCAGACUAGAGGUAUGCAGGGGAGAACGGAAUUCCUGGUGUAGCGGUGAAAUGCGCAGAUAUCAGGAGGAACACCGAUGGCGAAGGCAGCUUACUGGGCCGAUACUGACGCUGAGGAGCGAAAGCGUGGGGAGCGAACAGG
rnacentral:rRNA from 1 species